CUCCCGGCCCUGCCCGCCGGCCGCGGCCCCGGCAGAGCGCGGGCAGGGGGCUCGGGACCCGCCUCCUCGGGGAGCCGAACGGAGCCGGGAGAGUGAGCCAGGAAAGGGAAGAAGUCCGAAGGAGGAAACAGAAGGAGUUGUGUAUCCAAUAUUUUCCAUGCGCCCCAGAUGCCACCUCUGGUAUUCCUUAAACUCCCCUGGUUCCCGCUGGCCUCCCUCCUGUGACCUCAAGUCCCUGUAACACAGUGGUAACUCAGUUCUUGCUACAGGGACCUACUCUGCCACUGCUGCACAGUUUCGCUGUACUGCUUCAGAUGUUUUUCAGGCAGUAAUAUCCUUUCCCUCCCCUCUCCCUUUAUACACAAUACCUAACCUACAGUCUGCCUCCAGUAUAUUUUCCCUGAUUUUCUACCAGGUCCUCAGGUGCAAAAUCCACAUGGUGAUUGAAAGGGUGCUGGCCUGCAUCAGCUAUCUAUUUGUGUUCCUUAAGUUGAUUAGGAUUUUCUCUGGUUUGUUUUUAUCUCAGUAGUUUUGUUUGGUUGUUGUCUACUUACUGGUUGGAUGGCAUCCAGAAAGUCAUAAACUGUAAUGUCUUUUUGGAUUACGGAUGGUAAAACAUAUAUUUUUUUUACUCUAUUAUGUUCAGCAAAUAUUAGUGUUGUCUGCAAUAAAUGAACCUGAACAAGAGAAAAGAGUUAGCUUGUAUCUACUACUUCUAAUUUCUUCCAGGUAGACAAAACAAGUCUAUCAGUCUGUGCCUUAACAAAGAAGUAAUCUUCAAAUACUUUUGGAACAUGUACUCAACACCAUACCAGGCAGAAAAUACACAGCCUGAUUUUCAUUGACACAAAAGGCAAUUUAUAAAGCUCAGGAAGCCUUGCAAGGAUUAAAGCAGAUGUCUGCACCCACUUAGAGCUUUCUUUCCGCACCAGUGUUGUGUAACUGAAUAGUUGUUCAGGACUUGCUGCUGCUGAACUGGGUAAGUGUGCCACACCUAACACCUUACUCAGGGCAAAACUAUGUAGAUCGAAUGUUUGCAUAAAGAUGCAUGUAUUUGCUUUGGUGGCAACCAUUUUCAUGUUUGCAGCCCUUCACUUUGAGUCUCAGAAAGCAUGCUGACGGCGGGCUAUAAAGAGACCCUGUGAUUUAUUCUCUUGUGGUGGUCUCAACAUUUUGUCCUCUUUUCCUUCCACAAAUUGCAUUGAUCUAAACUGUUAUUGAUAUAGAAGCCAUCCAAAUACAAAAACACACCCUACUAUUUUAAAGUGUGAUGUUGAAUGAAGUUGAAAUUGGCUAAACCGUAAAGAAUCAUUUGGUAUAAUUAGACAAAGAUAUAUAAUAUAUACAGAGACAUUUCUUUAGGUAACUGAGUAAAAAUCAUGAGUUUAAGGACUUAUUUUCCUCUUUAAUCUUCAUGAUUUUUGAUUUUAUAUUCAAGUGGACACAAUGAAAGAAAGGGAUUCACUCCCUGAAAUGGAUGAAUCAGUCUCUGAGAAAGGAUCAGGUUGUCUCAGCUGAACUCCCUAGUGAAAUGGGAAUAAAUAUGUUUUUAAUGGAAAUGCUGAAGUCCAGAGCACGUGUCUGCCAGAGCCCUACCAACUCCGGGGAGUAAAGAUAUAUGACCGGUCUUGAGUUUGAAUUCCUUCUUCUUCCAAGCCAUAUUUGGGGAGCUUUUUAGAAAUAGGAGGGCUAAACCACGGAAAAGAAGAUUCCAUUAGUGUUAAAAUUACAGAGACUGUACCACAAGGAUAGGGCAACUCUGGAGAGUAAAGCAGAGAUAGGACAGAAACCUGACAGUAUUUACUGAGGUAAAGUUUACAACAAGAGAAAUGUGAUAAAAACUUGAAGGUGUAGUUGCAAUCUUUCUUCUUGUAAGGCGUCUGUAGGUGUGAAUUUCUUUGCCUGCUUUAACUUUCCUUUCCUUCAUGCUCAAGGGGUGCAGUUCUUCUACAUUCUUCUAUGAAGUUUAACACAGGCAAGUGCCAGAUUCUGCACCUGGGAUAGGGCAAACCUGGUUGUGUGUAUAGAUUAAGGAACAAGAGGCUGGAGAGCAGUGCUGCAGAAAGGAACCUGGGAGUCCUGGCUGAUGGCAAGUUGAAUAUGAUUCUAUUUCAGGUAGUAGUGAUAAUGAGGAGGGAGGACCAUAAACAUGUCCACCAUAAGACCUGUGGGACUUACCUGUGGAAAUCCUGAGGAGGAAGAGACCUCAAGUCAGUUUAAAAGAAGACAGCAGCAAAAAUCUAUCAAGCAAGAGACAGCGAGACCCAUUCUUGAACAUGGGCAAUAGAGUAAAUAUGACUCUUUGAGAAAGUAAUGUUUAUUGUAUCCUGGGGUAGAGAAGGUACAUAGAAGGAUGUCUUCUCAACCUCUUGGAUUACAUGCAAAAUUUAACUAUGACUGACUGAGCUUUUACACAUCCCUGGGAGUGUGAGGCCUCUGAACUACUAUAAGCAGCAGGUCAGGAGAUCCAGGUUCUGGGGCCAAAAUUCACUCCAGCACUUAGGUAUUUCCUUUCCACCCAUAUCACUACUUUAAAAACGUAAGGAACACUGAAAAUAGCAGAAUCUCUGUUGGAGUUAGGCCUCUGUUGCACUUGCACAUUUAAGACUAUUCUACAAUAUGACUUUUCCUCCCCCUUUUCUUCUUUGUCCUCUGACUUUUCAUUUUCUUCUCCAUUUAUUGCCUGUCCCUCUUCAUUCUCAUUCCACAUACACAGACCCUGUUCUUAAUGCUAUUAAUCAGUUAUUGUCACAAUUCCCUUCCUUCCUUGUUUAUUACUCAUUUUAGAUCAUCCAUUGUACUUACAAAGUAGAUCUGUGGUAGACCCAUUAGUGAAACCUGUGUGCCUCUUUAAGAGCCGAGCUAGUUUUUAACUACACACUCAGUGUUUCCUCCUUCUUAUUUUGCUCUCCCACAUCAAAAGAAAACCCCAAGUAAAUAAUACAGGUAUGCCCUUGCUCUUUUGUUUUCAGAGUUCUUUCUCUUUUCUUGUUUGGUUUCUCUUUGAUUUUUCAGGUGUUGUCAAAAUCUGAAGGUGUUGCUGAUGUAUUUCAUCUCCAAGUUACAUACAACGUUCAUGAUAAACAACCAGAGAAUGGCAUAUCAGGAAGGUAAAUCCUCUGAACUCCUACGUGUCAUGCUAUGAGGAAUCAUGCUACGAAACACCCUACUGGGAAACAAGUUGUAGCACCUCGAGGAGCUGGAGUGGUUGCACCUGCCUUGUGAAACAAUUCCUCCAAGGGCAAUCCUGCAUUUUUACUUCUGCCAAAAGAGAUUUCUUUGCCUUCUGCACUUCUAUUCGGCUUGGUCUUCACAAGAAGAGGUCCCAACUAUUUCUGUUCUCAUAAAGUUCUUUCUGUAAGUAAGAAUUUGUCUGCUUGGCUUUGACUGAAGCUCAAUCAGUAUUAAUAAUGAGUUAAGUCAGAUAUGGCCAUAUGGUGUGGAGCUCAAAACCCUCUAACUUCCCAGCUAGUUACCUGGGGCUCUGAGCUCCACAUUGCUGCAGCUCUGUUGCUGUCAGCACUCAAAAUGACUAGUUUAAUGCUAGGUUGAGCACAUCUAACCAUGCAGCAGCCACAGAACUGUUCGGUGAAGCGACAUACUUUCCAAAACAUGUUAACCUUGGAUUAAAUAAACCAAGGAAAAAGAGCCUGAAGUUCCCUAACUUGCUACAAUGCAGUCCUGCUAUUAUUAAGUCUGCUGCUGAAUGUGUGAAAGUGUGUGGGAUCAACACAAACUUCACAGAAGCAAAGCCCCAUGGUAGGUGGCAAAGGCAGCUUUGUCAGAAAAUCUGCAGAAUAUGCUCUGAGGCUGUGCCGCUGGAACAAAGCAGAGAAGUACAAGAAACAUCAUUAUAGACUGAAAAAAGGAGUCUCUACAGGCACUCUUAUUCAGAUCUCCUUGGGAGAGAGAAGGGGUUAGUAGUGGUAAUAAACUGUAAAGUAAAGGUCUCACUUGAAGCAAGAGGAAGAGAGAGAACUGGUGUCAAGAAACAGUACAGAUGAUGAGAAUGAGUGGAAGAAAAGAAAGCAAGCUCUGGACUGUUUGAUAAUGAGGUGUGCCUGUCCAGUGUCCUGAGGAAUGCAUAAUGUUAGAGAAUACAUAGGAACUGCCAAGGCCAGUGUGUUUCACUUGCAGGGUCUCAUUCCUGAGGACUGUGAGUUAUCUUCACUGACAGUGUGCCACAAUCACUAUCCAGCUAAGGUUGCUGAUAUCUAUCAGAGUGAUUUGGAAAUAUGAAGAGACAGUCCAGUGAUCAUGGAAAAUGUGCGAGCAAAGAGAUAGAGAAGACCUAGCAGAAAGAGGAAUGUUGUGUUCCACGAUGUGCCUUGUCCUGGGACAGUAGAAAACUGUGAAGCAACAGCUUAUGGAUUUUGCACUCCCUGGACAAAAGGAGUUAAGAUAAACUGAUUAAGAUGAUGUCUCUCCUAUGGACUUAACAUAUAUCCUUCAACAUCCUUGAGAGUUAAGAGAAAUUAAAUUUAUUUUCAGAGAUAUAUUUCCUUCUUCCCCUUCCUUUUUGUUAUAAACAGUAAGGUCUGUGCUGAUUUAUUGGAAUUACUCUUUUGGCUGUGAUGUGCAGGAUUAGUAAUGAGCUACUCUGUCUGAAACGUGAUGUUAGAUAUUAAACAUAGCACUUCUGGAAAAAAUAUGCAAUUCCUGUGAUGAUAUAAACCCGAGGUUUAUUUCUUGCUACUUGUGUCUUACAGACUGAAACGUGUCAUUUUAUUUUUAGAGGUGUACUGCUCUACUGCAGCUCUUUUGAACUAGUGUUGAUGGUGUUCUAUAGCAUUUCAUAGUUGCUGAAUAUGGGCACCUUUACAUUUAAGAAUGUCAUGUUCUAUUUUUCCAUACUUAUAGUAACUUUUAAAAUCUUUAGAGUUGUUUAGUAGUACGUGCCUUUGUAAUCAGAUUCUGUGAAUCUUUGAAUUCUUUGAAAUAAAUUGCCUGAAGAGCUUUAAUAAAAGGAAACAGCCUGAAGGUAAUUGGUUUGCUGAAGGCUGGAGCAGGCCCAGUUAACCUCAAUGGUUGAGCCACCCCACAGCGAUUAUUUGAACCUUAAUAAUAUCAACCCUUCAAGUUUCUAAGUGUUCCAUGACUCUACUGGUUUUGGCAAAAAUUGAAAAUAGGUCUCAGGAGCUAAAAAUCAGCAGAACAUAUCAUACUGCUCUUUUUCUGUCGGUUACACUAAAAACUCUAUCUGGAGCCUGUACCCUUCAAUCACUCAGACAGCAACAAUAGACUCCUUUGGUUACUAGAUUUACGACAAGGCUACUUGAUUAAAAUCAAAUAUAAAAAAGA